CUUUCCGGGUCGGCGCUACGGCGGAGGCGGAGCGGCCGCUCCGGGGCCGUCCCGACGAGAGGGGCGGUGAUGUCGAGAUUACCCGGGAGCUUUGCCAAGGCCGCUGUCCCGUGAGGGGUGGCCGUGCCCCGUGCUGGUGAGAGUUUUUUAUACCGAGGUUUGAAAUUCCCCACGCCAGUAUAUAGAAGCGGCGUGGAAAGAGUCAAAACGCUUUUCAUCUCUCUGCCAGUACAAAAUAAACGAGCUAAAAUAACAGAAUCGUUUGGGUUGGAAGGGACCUCUGGAGAUCACCAUAACCCUACCUCCCCUGCGAAGACAGGGAUCAGCCCAGAGCAAGUGACACAGGAACACAUCCAGGUGGCGUUGGAAUGUCUCCAGAGAGGAAGACUCCACACCCUGCCUGGGCCUCUGUUCCAGUGCACUGGCCGCCUUCCAGGAAGCCUGGAAAAGCAAGGUCUUGUUCACGAGGAGCCGCUUCAUCUUGAAAGUCAAGGUGUCUCACAAGAGGUGCUGCAAAGGGGAGCUGGCAAAAAAGGAGAGAGCCGCAAGGAAGCAAAGAAGCCGCCCGAAGGCCUUAUCCCAGCCCAGGGUUCCCACUUUUCUCUCUGACUCCUGAAUAAUUGCUUGAGCAUAACCAGGGAGCAUCCAUUUGAUUUCCUGCCUUUUCCAAUAAAUCCUUGCCUUCAGCUGGAGCGCGUUCCUGGUGUCCUCCUCCUCCUCCUGCUGCAUGGAUUUGUAAAUAAAGUUCCUGACUUCUGUCCAACUGAAUUUUGUUAUUCCAGCAAUUGUGGCUCUCUUGUUCCACUGAAACUUCCCCGCUCUGCCGAGAGUUUGAGAUGUCAAAUCCAGGUAAGACUGGAGUUUCUUUGGGUUGCUACUCCCACAAAACACAGAUAAUUCUUGGAGAAGUGUAAUGUGCCAUGUUUAGUUCUCACUUCCCUUUAAAAUCAGAGCAGAGGAGGCAGACUUUAAAUCAUCCUUCCAUGAACUUCCACCAACCUCCUGACUGUUGCAAAAGUUUUCAAUGUUAGAAAUUCCCGAGCUUGUUUUCCAGGCAAGCUGGGAUUUGGGUGUUAUUCCUUCCUUUUAUUUCAUGGUUUUCCUCUCUCUGAUUUCAGUGAGGGGGUAUUUAUUGCAAAUGCCAAUUUUCCAUCCCAGUUGGAAUUUUUGUACCUCUUAGGGCACAUUUGCAAGGAAAUUUGCCAAAAGAGUGUCGGUUAAUGGGCAUUGUGGAUCACCGUACCUGCAGGAUGCUGUAAAUUCCCAGGAAAACUUGCUGCGUGUUUAAUUGCCGUCAUGAAUCUCUCUGUAAAGUCAAAUUUAGUGCAUUUUUAAUGCCAUCAAUCCCAUUACAACCUCACUCCUGGCCUAAUUGCUGUUCCCUGGACACAAUGGGGUGGAUCUUUCCUGCCUUGGCACAUUUGGAUGUUCAUCCGAAGUGAGUUUCCCUCUAAAAAAGAAUUUGUUUCCAAGCAAAACUGGGAAUUGUCUCAAAACCUUCUUGUCUGGGAGGCACUGGGUUUGUUUUCCCCAUCCCUGCGUAGUGCAGGAUCCUCCCAAGGCUGUGUUAGGCAGUGGCAGGAGAGGAGAGCUGCAUUUAUUUUUGUAUUACUAUUUAUUUUAUUUUUUACUUUUUUACUUUUGUAAUUUUAUUUUCUUGAGUUUUAUUUUUUCAUAGAAUUUUUUGUUUUGAACUUUUAA